ACAGAGGGGGCUAGCGUUGUUCGGAAUUACUGGGCGUAAAGGGCGCGUAGGUGGCCUGUUAAGUCGAACGUGAAAUCCCUGGGCUCAACCCAGGAACUGCGUCCGAUACUGGUUGGCUUGAAUCCGGGAGAGGGACGUGGAAUUCCAGGUGUAGCGGUGAAAUGCGUAGAUAUCGGGAAGAACACCGGAGGCGAAGGCGGCUCACUGAGCCGGAUCCGACACUGAGGCGCGAAAGCGUGGGGAGCAAACAGGA
rnacentral:rRNA from 1 species